AGACCACAACUCGGUGACCACAUGGGUCAGCAUCCAUCAGCUCAUAUGUCUGCUGCUCCCUAUGCCAGAAAUUCAACUGCCACCUCAGUUCCUCCCAGACUUGCAACAUUUCUAGAAUCCAGUACCGUUCUACCUCAGACGCCACACCCACCAAUGAGACCGAGUAACUUCAAUCCACCUCACCGGAUGCCCAAUUUGCCAGGUCCUCUGCCUCCAAGGCCAGGAAAUUACAUUCAAAUUCAGCAAAGCUAUCCUGCUCACGCAACUAGACCUGAGAUCCCACGUGCUCCAAAUCAACAGUUCAACAACCUUGCAUUUUCCUCUGGCAAGUCGGCAUCUGGUCCUGGAGGAGGACAGCAACUUUAUGAUCCAUUCUCACCCACUUCCGCGAAUCAACAGCAGGGAGGUAAUCCAGUAAAGAUGUGAAAGCAAGGGAUUGAUGUACACUAAUGCGAUUUGAUUGCCUUGGUUGGAGUUACAAUUUCGGAUUUAGUGAAGCAGCUAACAAAACAAGGAUUUGGAGUUGUUGUAGUCUACAGGUCAUAUUAACAUGUUGCUGUUGUCUGAUUUCUGACGGGACAAAACUUCUUCCUAGAAACACAUUUCGUUACCUUUUUAUCAAUCGAUUUGUUUCCCUUUCGUUAAAAGAGUACGAAAGAGUACCGCAUUUAUAUUACAAAUCAGUUAAAAGGGACCAAGCAAACCGAACAGUCCGGCGAGCUAAUUCACUAGUCUACAGCUGCUAAGAACGCGGGAGAAGAAAAACAAAAUAACAAAAACAAACAAUUAAUAGUUAUUGAUAUUAGGGUGAAACCCUUUCCAAAAAGUAAAAUACCGGCCAAAACUAAAAGCAAGACAAUGAUAUUGUUAUUUGUAUAAAAUUCACACGUUUGCUAAGACAUUAUCUAAUACAGUUUAACUCAAUUAUUAUACGUGGAAAACAAUAACAUAUUGAAAAAUAUGUUAUCAAAUGUUGCUCGUUCCUGACAUAAAGGAGUCUGCAUGUGGUUUUAUGCAGAUAUCUAGCUAGUACAUUACAACUAUGUUUCCCUGCCGAACGUUUUGUUUUUGAGGUUUUCUCCUUGCUUGCAAUAGCCUUAUGUAUAGUAGUGGUGACAAAAUAGUACUACAAGGCCUGAGGCCACCUAGAUGAGAGAGGCCGUACAUUUGAACCAGAGAGGAAAUGGGAUUGUGACGGAAAUGAAGAAGGCGGUGAUUCCGAAGAAGACCCCAAAAUAAUGGAAGAGAUGAACUAUAAUCUGCGGAGAGUUGGAGUGUUGGAUAAAUUUGCUAACCAUGAUACAAGUAAAGGCAAGUAGGAUUGCGAGACCAAGAAAGCAAAGGUUAGAGGGAGCUGGUUGGAGUGAAGUUGGAUGGGAAUGAGAGCCAUUGCAAUGGCUGUCGACAAGCAAUACGCCACGAUAAUCUUUGCCCAGUCUAGGUUGUGCUUCGUAGUCCUAGAGCUGGUGGCCGUGGCUGGCGGCAGCGGUGGUUGAUCAGCCGGUACUAUUGUUUCUGGGUCAACAUUAUUAUCCAACGCGUUGAUGACCUUGUUGAGUUGUUGCUGAAAAAAUGCCCGAAGGCACCGAUAAGCACUAGCAAUAUAGUACUUCAUACUUGUUUGCUAAUAAGGAGGGAGAGUGAUGGAACCCUAAACAGUUUUGGUGGUGGGUGGUUUUGGAGGGUGAGAAGAGGGAGGAAACUGUGUGUGAGUGGGAGUUUUUUUUUUUUUUUUGGGGUGGGGUUGGUGAGAAUGAGGAUAACUUCGGAACUCUAGGAUAAUGGGCGUUUUAGGGCGGGAUCUAAAGGGGGGGGCGGGGGUGUGGGAGUGACAGGAGAGGGAGAAAACUGUGUGUGAGUGACACCGUGGGAGGGGUGGGAGUCACAGGAGAAGCGGGGAGAAAGCUGUGUGAGGGAGAAAAAGCGGGGGCGGGGCGGGAGUUUUAUGGGGUUUUAUGGGGGAAGCAAACAAAACAAGUCACCACUAAAGUCUCAUACAACUUCGCAAGUAUAUAUGGGAGAAGAAGCAAACAAAAUAGGUUAGAUGAGAAACAUUUUUGUACUAUAUUAAUAAUGUAUCAUGUGAUGUGGAAAGUGAAGUGUACAUAUCACGAUAAUAAAACAUAAAUUUGUGUGUAUCAGUUCAGAAAUUUAGACUUUAAUUUCCACAAAAUUUGGCUUAUUAAUUGAAAUGCCCCAUGAAACAGACUUUUUUUGUCUCACUUUCCCCAUUCUGUUAAAUAACUGUUAAAUCUAAGGAUAUUUUAGACAUUUUAGUUUUUACACAUCUAUUUACCUCUAGCAUACCCACUAAACCAAUCUCAAUUCCAAUUUUAACAACUGUAAUUCAAAUUCAUGAAUUUUGAGCCUUUAAAAAAAAUAAAUUAUUCAAUAAAUAAAAAAAAUUUGAGUAACAAAAUCAUUAUAUCAAUCAAAAUAAGGGUUAUAUUUUUUUUUCUUAGAGUUAUUUCAAUUGCAAAGCAUCAUGUAUUGGCUUGAAACUUUGCACUUAAAAAAUACUCAUUACGACAAAAAAGAAUCAUGAUAUGCCUAUUUCAAGAUAUUUUUCUAAUUAAAAUUGGCCUAACCAUAAGUUUCACCCAUUAAAAAAUGAUCUAAGAUCAUUUGCAACAAAUAUAAUCUCAAAAACCAUUAAGCUAUCAUUUCCAAAAUACUUCCCAUACAAAAAAAAAUCAUCUAAAGAAAAUGUGCACAGUUUGCAACCAAAAGUUUCACAUUGUUGCUCAAAAUUUUUCUAUCGACUGAGAAUUUAUUUUAAAAAGGCCCUAACGCUUGAGGUUUGAAUUAGAGUCGUCAAAAAUGUAUUUGUGAUCGGUUUAGUGUGUGAUCUAGAGGCAAAUAGAUGUAUAAAAAGUCUAAAAUCUAAAAUAUCCUGGAAUUGAACAGUUCUUUAACGUGACGGGUUAAGUGAGACAAAAAGAGUUGAAAAUGUCAGUUUCAAGAUAACAAAGUGAGAUAAAAUCAGUUUCAGUAAGUAAACUGAGACUACUAAAUGAUAGUUUUAAAAGACAUUACAAUUAAUAAGCCUGUAAAAGUUUAAUGUCCUCGUUCAAACAGAAUUGAGCGGUGAAUGUAGUGAUUUGUUAUCUUGGAUUGGACUGAGGCCCGGAACAUAUUUGAGCCCACCAAAGAACCCAACGGGCCCUCGUCUCGAUUCACUCUCGUGUUGGCCAAGUGUGGAACUGUAAAAACUCCAUGGAGUUUCUGCGCGCUUUUCAUUCCUCUGAGACUUUACACUUAUCGGAAGAGCAGAGAGCAAUUGGGUUGCGACUUGCGAGUCUACACUCCCAAAACGCAGCAUUCUGAUCAUCCCUCUCCUUAAUCCUCACACUGUUAUUCUCUCUCUCUCUCUCUCUCUCUCUCUCUCUCUCUGUAUUUCCUAUUGUUUUAGGCAGGUAGGUUGUCCUUUUCCCAGAAAAUUUUGUUUUUCAGAGGAAAACAAAAUGGGGCUCUGAUCUCACCCAAGAUGCUUCUAUCAAAAAGGGAAGAGCUUUAGCUUAUCAGGUAUUGUUUGUAUUGUUUGCAAGUCCUUUUCAGGUCAUCUUUCGUUUGAUACUAUGUUAUUUCGUAGUUCUAAGAUCAAAAUUUGCUCCUGGUUUAUGUAUCUUUUUCCCACUUUACCCGUUUUGUGUUUGCGCAAUGUCAAACCUCUCUAAUUGCAAGUUCGAUGUUCCCAACCUCUGGCAAGUCAGCGUCUCAACAGCAGGGAGGACAGCAACUUUACGUUCCAUUCUCGCCCACUUCCGCGGCUGUUGGGCUCAACAGCAGGGAGGUAAUCCAGAAAAGUUGUGAAAGCAAGACUAUGAUCUAUACUAAUGGGAUUUGAUUGCCUUGGUCGGAGCAAUACAAUUUAGGAUUUAGUGAAGCAGGUGACAAAACAUGUUGUUGCUGUAAUCUGAUUUAAGAUAGGACAAAACUUCUUCAUAGAAAACACAUUUCCUCACCUUUUUAUCAUUCCAUUUGUUUCCCUUUCGCUUUCCAAAUUACUAUUUAUUAUUGUUUGUUAUACAAGCAAUGAUGGGGAAGGGGGGUUUUGAACUUAGAACCUCAGGUGUAAGGGUAAAAAUGCUCUUACCCUCUUGAGCGACAAGCCCAUUGCCUUUCCAUUUCCAUGUUGAUUGGCUUAUUCUCGACACAUUAAUUGAAUGCAUUACUAGCUCACGAGUUGCUAAAAUAAAAUAAAAGAUUAAGUUUAAGCGGUCUUGUUAAAAUCUUGCUCGGAGAAACCCCAGUGGGAAAAACUCCAAAUUUAGAAGAAAGAGUAGCACACUUACAUUACAAAUCAUUGAAAAGGGACCAAGCAAACAUAGCAAUCUGGAGAAUACACUAGAGUUGCGAGGAACGCGAGAACAAACCUUGGCCUAGAAAUAGCCUGGAACUCAAGAAUGAGAUCGAAUCGACCAUCAGCUUCAAAUCAUCUUCCAAUCUAUAUCUAUGUAAGGGAUGUGGGAUAUUUUGUGCUAGUAGCGUCAUUUUCCUGGUUGACAUCUCUCUUUUAGCAUAGGACACCCAUAGAUGCAAAUUUCCGUAAGUGAAAGAGGCAGUCCCUCCUUUGGAAUGGAUGCUAGCUUUGGACAAUCCCAGAGUUCCAAAGAUUCAAGGGAGAUUAGGAAUUGAAAGCCCUUACUGCUCAAUUUCUUCAGAUUCUAUAAGCCACCAAUUGAGAGUUCAGUGAGAGAUUUGGGGAGUAACAUCUCCAUCCGGACCAUGUCCGGUGGAAACGAUACCAUAUCCAGGUCUUCACCACCGAUCCACAAGUAUCUAAGGGAGGACACUUGUGAUUAGCAAGUGCAUAUUCAGUGUGUCGUGUGUGUUUUCUCUAUAUUUCAUUUUGAUCGGCGCAAAUAAGGAAACCGGAGCCAAAAUUCAUGUCUCUGGUACCAAAGCAGGGACAGGACAUAACGUAAAUAUUCAGUAAAUAAUAUAGAACAGUAAGGAAUCAAUAUCAAGAUAAAUUUGGGAGUCUUCAUCAUCAAUUUUACUCAUUUUCAUCUUUUCUUAAACUAUUAUUUUACGGAAAAAAAUCUAUUGUGGAAUGGUUGGUUCGAGAUGUGACAUAAUGCUCAUACGUACGUACAUGCAUUGACCUUCCCUUCUUUUAUUCUUUUAACUUAUUUGCAGGCUGAAAUAAAAUCAUCUGAUGGGAGUGAAGUCCAGGGUGAAUAUGAAAACUUAUACGUUCAUAUAUCAGCUGACACAUUUGAGAAAGUAGAUGCAGCGGUUGCCGUAAUUGAACUCUUAGGGUUGGUUUGGUAUUGAUGUGUUUUGAAAAAAAACUGCUUAUGUUGUGUUGUGAAAAUAAGUGGCUGUAAAAUAAAGCAGCAGAGUGUUUGGUAAACUUUUUUGUAAGAGUGCUUUUAGAAAAAAAGCAGUAUGAUAGUAUUUGGUAAACUUUUAUGUAAAACAGCUGUAAAUGUGUGAAAUGAUUAAAAAAUAUAUAAUACUAAAUGUGCUAUUAAUUUAAUUUUUUUAACAAAUAUAGGUUAAUUUUCUUUACAAUUUUUAAUCCACUAUUGCCAUUUUUUUUAUUUCAUUCCAGCAUUAUCUAGUCAUUAUUCUUACAAUAUUUUAAUCCACUUUUGCCAUUUUUUAUUCCAUUCAAUUAUCCUUGGUAUUCUUCUUCAAUGAUAUAACUGCAAGCACUCCAUUCAAAUCCUCUCUCUCUCUCUCUCUCUCUCUGAAAAGCUCAAAUCACCUUCUUCUUUUUUUUUUGUGAAAAAUCCCAGAUCAAAAUUCUUCAUUUUCGCCGCCACCGGGGUGCCCCGGUCCCGAUCGACCGAAACCGGCGCUAUGCAGCACAGCGGGUUCAUCUUCAACCCCAAUCAGACCAUCCAAUCAGACAAAAAGCGAAUUCGAUCAUUGUAAUCCGAAUCCCUUCCAGCUCCGAUUUAUACAAAUGCAGGACCCGAUCCGAAGCCAAAACGAACCUUAAAGACUCGGAGCUUCUGGUUCUAGAGAGAAAGAAGAGAGAGAGACAGAGACUCGUGAAGAGCUCUGCGCGGCAAGAAGGAGAAAUGGAGGAGGGUAUUUCUGGAUUCUCAGCCAGGCAGUCAGGUGUUAUCGAGACCACAACUCGGUGACCACAUGGGUCAGCAUCCAUCAGCUCAUAUGUCUGCUGCUCCCUAUGCCAGAAAUUCAACUGCCAUCUCAGUUCCUCCCAGACUCGCAACAUUUCUAGAAUCCAGUACCGUUCUACCUCAGACGCCAUACCCACCAAUGAGACGGAGUAACUUCAAUCCACCUCACCAGAUGCCCAAUUUGCCAGGUCCUCUGCCUCCAAGGCCAGGAAAUUAUAUUCAAAUUCAGCAAAACUAUCCUGCUCACGCAACUCGACCUGAGAUCCCACGUGCUCCAAAUCAACAGUUCAGCAACCACCUUGCAUUUUCCUCUGGCAAGUCGGCGUCUGGUCCUGGAGGAGGACAGCAACUUUAUGAUCCAUUCUCACCCACUUCCGCGAAUCAACAGCAAGGAGGUAAUCCAGGAAAGAUGUGAAAGCAAGGGAUUGAUGUACACUAAUGCGAUUUGAUUGCCUUGGUUGGAGUUACAAUUUCGGAUUUAGUGAAGCAGCUAACAAAACAAGAAUUUGGAGUUGUUGUAGUCUAUAGCUCAUAUUAACAUGUUGCUGUUGUCUGAUUUCUGACGGGACAAAACUUCUUCAUAGAAACACAUUUCGUUACCUUUUUAUCAAUCAAUUUGUUUCCCUUUCGUUAAAAGAGUACGAAAGAGUACCGCAUUUAUAUUACAAAUCAGUUAAAAGGGACCAAGCAAACCGAACAGUCCGGCGAGCUAAUUCACUAGUCUACAGCUGCUAAGAACGCGGGUGAAGAAAAACAAAAUAACAAAAACAAACAAUUAAUAUUUAUUGAUAUUAGGGUGAAACCCUUUCCAAAAAGUAAAAUACCGGCCAAAACUAAAAGCAAGACAAUAAUAUUGUUACUUGUAUAAAAUUCACAAGCUUGAUAAGACUUUAUCUAAUACAGUUUAACUUGAUCGUUAUAUGUGGAAAACAAUUACAUAUGAAAAAUAUGUUAUCAAAUGUUGCUCGUUCCUGACAUAAAGGAGUCUGCAUGUGAUUUUAUGCAGAUAUCUAGCUAGUACAUUACAACUAUGCUUCCCUGCCGAUCGUUUUGUUUUUGAGGUUUUCUCCUUGCUUGCAAUAGCCUUAUGUAUAGUAGUGAUGACAAAACAGUACUACGAGGCCUGAGGCCACAUAGAUGACAGAGGCCGUACAUUUGAACCAGACAGGAAAUGGGAUUGUGACGGAAAUGAAGAAAGCGGUGACUCCAAAGAAGACCCCGAAAUAAUGGAAGAGAUGAACUAUUCUCCGUGGAGAGUUGGAGUGCUGGAUAAAUUUGCUAACCAUUAUACAAGUAAAGGCUAGUAGGAUUGCGAGACCGAGAACGCAAAAAGUUAGAGGGAGAUGGUCGGAAUGAAGUUGGAUGGGAACGAGAGCCAUUCCAAUAGCUGUCGACAAGCAAUACGCCAUGAUAAUCUUUGCCCAGUCUAAGUUGUGCUUCGAAGUCCUAGAGCUGGUGGCCGUGGCUGGCCGCAGCGGUGGUUGAUCAGCCGGUACUAUUGCUUCUGGGUCAAGAUUAUUAUCCAACGCGUUGAUGACCUUGUUGAGUUGUUGCUGAAAAAAUGCCCGAAGGCACCGAUAAGCACUAGCAAUAUUGUUCUUCAUACUUGUUUGCUAAUAAGGAAGGGGAGAAGGGGGGAGGAGUUGGUUUAGAAAGAGGCGCAGGAAGGAUGUCUGGAGAGGGGAGGGGGGGGGGGUGGUUAUACACUUCAUGAUGGGGCCCGGGGGGGAUAAAGUGCGACGGUGGGGACAAAAAAGCAAAGAAUGAGACACCACAUCCCCUAAAAUAAAUUGUAGAACAGGAGUCGUAGCAGGAGUCGUAGCAAAUAAUGAGACACCACAUCCCCUUAAAUGAAUCGUUACUCGGGUAGAGUAGACUAGUAGAGCAUCAACCUGCCAAAAAUGGGGCCCGGGAGAGACAAAGAGUGUCUGGGGCCGGAGAGGAUCCUCUCCUGAGCAGAUGGAGAUAUCCUCCUGAUCAGAUCCAUCGUUCAAUUUUUAUUCAACGAUUAUAAUUAUUAUAACUUUAUAAAGAUUCCUUAUUUGUAACCGUUGGAUAAAAAUUAAACGGUCUGAUGGACCUGAUCAAAAGGAUCCUCUCCAUUAGCUCAGGAGAGGAUCCUGAUCCUCUGGGGCAAGUGAGAUGCCACUGUGGCAGAGGCUUGGGAAAGAACGAGGAAAGGAGGCGGGACCCAUGAAGUGAUCAAUUUACGGGGUGGGACCCAUGAAGUCAUGAAUUGAUCAUUUUACUGGGUGGGACCCAUGAAGUGAUGAAGUGAUCAUUUUACGUUACGGGGUGGGACCAUGAAGUGAUCAACUUAUGGGCUUGAUCUAGAGAUCCUAAGGAUUCCGUGAUUAUGAUCGUUCAAUGUAUAUCGUAUGAUUAUAAAUUAUUUUAAAAUUUAAAAUUUAAAAUUAAUUAUAAAUAGUACUUAACAAAAAACUGAUCACAAGAUAUACAAUGAACGGUUGCGAUCACGGAUUCCGAAUAAAUGAAUCUGUCAAGGAUCCUUUUCCACGGGGUGGCACCAUGAAGUGAUUAUUUUACAGGGUGGGGCCCUUUCUUUUAAUUUGUUUUGUCAAAGUGGAAACGAUCCCCCUCUUUUUAUCCUUUAUUUUUGAUAGUUUUGUUUCUGAUCAUCCCUUUUUUAUUCUUUAUUUUUUAUAGUUUUGUUUUGUCAAAGUGCAAACGAUCCCCCUUUUUUUAUUCUAUUCUUUAUUUUUAGGACAAUUCAGGACACUUCAUACUGCCCAUUCUAUGUGGCACAAUAAGAACUUAACACGUGUAACUUUAAAAAAAAAAAAGAACCGAGCCUUGUUAACGGCGUCUUCUCCCAUCCCAAUGACAGAGGACUUCAAUCGUCCUUCUCCUUCCCGCUCACACUACCUCUCCCUCCUUCUCACACUACCUCUCCCUCUCCCUCUCUCUCUCUCAGACUUCCUCUCCUUCUCGCUUAGACCACCAUCCACCUAGAGCGGCGAUGGCGAGCUCCGAGCAACGACGGCAAGCGGCAAAAUUGAAUAGAAAAGCCAGACAAUCUUGAAAAACAAGGAAUCGGGUAUGUUUUCGAAGAAUUACAUCUUUCUUUUUCUCCAUUCUCAAUUUUUAUGAUGUGAGCAGGGUUUUGCUCCCUGUCCUUCUCUCUCUCAUACUACAUCUCCUUCUUGCUCAGACCACCAUCCACCUAAAGCGGCGAUGGCGAGCUCCGAACAACGACGACAAGCAGCAAAAUUGAAUAGAAAAGUCAGACGAUCUUGAAAAACAAGGAAUCGGGUAUGUUUUCGAAGAAUUACAUCUUUCUUUUUCUCCGCUCUUAAUUUUUAUGUUCAAUUUUUAUGAUGUGAGCAGGGUUUUCUCUUAUUAGGGUUAGCUCUUGUCAUUGUUAAUUUUGUUUGAAUUAUUUAAAAAUUGAAUUGAAUUAUUUUCACUUCUCCAUAUUCUUUUCAAUUCCAAUGGAACCGAAGGAUCCAUUCUCUGAUGUAUUAUUCGAUAGUAGGCUAUUUUCGUCCAUUUUGUUAUUGCUAUUGGUGUUGGUAUAUCAGGGAUUGCAGCUGCACGAAUUCUGGGUUUUUUGGGUUUUUUUUUAUUUUAGUUUUGAGUAUGUUUUCUUUUCUUUUUUUGUGUUUGAAUACAAGUAGGUUGAAGAGCUGCAUAAAGGACAGCCACAAGGGCAAAGCCAUACAAAGCAGAGUUUCCAACACCACGAUGUCAACCAUUUUGCCUGUGAGUAUUAGAUUCCUUUUUCCAUUUCCAUGCCCCUUGAUUGGUUUUACAAUUUGGUCACUUUUUAAAGAUGUAUUUGUAAGAAUAUGAACAUGAGAUUGGGUGUUUUUUACAGUGAACGGAUAAGUCCAAUUAGAAUAAGAAAGCCUUAUGAGAAGCUGUGAACAAAUCCUUGUUUGUGAAGGAUUCUGUCAAGAAUACUUGAACUGAUAUGGUUUGGAAAACAUAAGUUGUUUUCUAUAAGGAUUGUAAUAGGAAAUCCUUGUCAAGUUAUAAGAAGGAUAUAUAUAUAUAUAUAUAUAUAUAUAUAUAUAUAUAUAUAUGUAUGUGUGUGUGUGUGUGUGUGUGUGUGUGUGUGUGUGUGUGUGUGUGUGUUUAUAUAUAUAUAAAUGUUGUAACCUCUACUCUCACAGAUGUGUGCUCAGUUAGAUCCGAGUCCUAUUCUUGGUUAGAGCUUAAAUCAAUCUGACAGAGAGGAGAAGGAUUGCAACACCGAGACUGAAUGGUAGCAGUUAUGGCAUAUUCCAAUGGCAGUUCAUCAGGUUAGUGGUAUUGCAGAGUUCUUUAUUUAUUUAUAUAAAAGGUUUCAUGCUUUCUUGAUUGUGAUUUCUGUGACUUAAAUCUUGUUCUUGGCAAUAUAAGUUUACAGUAUUGUGUUCCAUUUUUUUUGGGAGUUGUCAAGAUUUUAGUAAUCAACUCGUUCCAUUUUUUAAGAUGUAUGCCCAUAUAACGAAAGCUACCAUGUUCAUAUGUUUUCCAAAAUAUCUCGUAUCUCAUAAUCUAUGGGUCAUUUGUGUGCAGGAUGUUCAUUACGAGGACAAGGAUGGAAGUACAGGCUAAUCCUGGCUAUCACUGACGGGUCUCUAAUGCCUAGAGUUGAAGGAGUUGAUGUCUCUAUCUGAUAUAAAUAAUGUCUUUGUAUAUGCUGAUGACUAUGGUCUAAUAUGGACAUAGAUUGUUUCUCAAAUUGGUAUGAAAGGGUCUUAGUUUCGUUUAUAAUUUUGGGUUGGAAUCUAUAAAUCCAUAACGAGUAAGAGACUUAUGUUUUGUAUUUGUAUAUUUUGAUAGCCUCUUUCAAAUCCUCUCUAUAAGUCAAACAGAGUUUACAACCUUAUGUAUUCUCAAGGAAAACAUUUUUGUUUUCAUGUACAUAUGAAAGUGUUUUUCUCCUUUAUUUAGUUUUACUUAAUUAGGGCAUUGUCAUUUGUGUAUGUGGUCAGAGUGUUAUGUGUAUUGAUGCAGAGCUACAUUGAGAUACCUACAGAGGAGUACAUGAGAAAAUCAACAUAUGAAACCAGUUUGGCUCCUUAGUAGUACAUGAAAAAUAAGACGUUUAGUGAAGGGAAAUUUUGUCGUUUGCUGAACAAAAACCAAAAUAGCAAUAGCAAUCUCCAAAAUUAUCACCAAAGUAGCACUUGACUUGUGAUAUCCCUUCAGUCACACUUGUUUAAUACAGUACAAGUUCAACAAAAUGAUUACAACAUCUCCAAUUCAAUAGAAAUUGCCUCCAUGGUCUUUAUCUUCUCAUUUUCCAAGCCCCUUGUUUGCACUGUUACUUUGUGAAAGGUCAUGAUGGUGCAUUAUAACUUCCUAUAAAUUACAAAACAAAUUAUAUUAUAUAAAAUCAUUCCUAAAAACAAUAAGAAGCAAAUUGACUUGACCUAUUAAACACAUGGCUCAAAUUUUUGGCAACAUUUUGAUAAAUAUGCCAAACACACAAGUGAUGGUGAGAUUCAUUAAAAACUUCUGAUAUUGCUUUAGCCAUUGCAGCAGAUUGAUCUGUCAAUAUGGUCUUUGGUUGCUUCCCAGACAUUGCUUCCAAGAAAGUCUCAAAUAGCCAUGUAAAAGAAUCAUCACUUUCUUCAUAUAGCAAAGCUGCACCGAAAACUAUGGUUUGUUUAUGAUGAUUAACACCAAGAAUUGGUGCAAAAGGUUUACCAUACUCAUUUGUCCGAUACGUUGUGUCAAAACAAAUGACAUCUACAAAGAGACCAUAAUCAAUUAUUGAACGUGAAUCUGCCCAAAACAUAUUUUUGAUCAUAUCAUCUUCAUCAAGCUGCACCGAGUAAAAACUAGACGAGUCCUUCACUUGCAUUUUAUGAAAAUAUUGCAAUAUAGCCCCAGCAUCUCCUUUUUCCAUGUUUGUCUUUCGCUUUUGAUAUAUGUAAUUUCGAUAAUCUUUAUCAAGAAACCCAAGAUUCUCUCGCCCACCAACUUCUCUGCUCAUCAAUUCCAUAGUUGCUUUUAUUUAUAUUCAUGACUUAUCUGCAUCAUCAACAUGCGCCUUUUGAGCUCAGGACAUCUUCCGAUUAAUCUUCAACAUGUGCUUCAUAGGGGUUCGAACCAAAGCACGAUUAUGAUUUGCAUCAAAGGAAACAAUCUUAAAUUUUCCAUUCUUUUUAAGAAGGCAAGUCAUGUGGGCUUGACAACCGACCCUUGAAACUGGUUGAGUAUAAGUUGUACCUUUAAUUGGCUCAUCAUUUCUUCGAAAACCUUGUCUUGAACAAGUGUAAGUUACUCUUGUUACAAUUCCUGCAUUGUUUUUUUUCCAAUGAUGCUUCCUCACGUCAAAACCCUUAUCUCUAGCAUAGUUGCAGUAAACAUCGUAUGCGCUCUCUUUAGAACAAAACUCCAUUCCAAGUUCUAGAUCUCCCAUUAUUUCUUUGCUUUUAUUCAACUGAGGAGGUCCCAAAGAACCAUCAUGACUUUAAGAUUGACAAGUAGGUGAAGAACUUACACCUUGUAAAUCAUCUUCAUCACUAGGUAAUGACUCAUUGUCUGAUCUUGUAGGUUCUUCGUUCUCCAUAACCUGCCACAUAACAUUAAUACUAGAGACAUGAAAUAUGCUCUCCAUUAUUCAUUUGCUUUUAUUUUGUUGCAUCUCAAUAUGGGACGAAACAGAGCACACUCAAUACAAAUAUUGCAAUUUUCAAAUCCAAAGCCGCAAGCUUUGUGAAGAAAAACAAGCAUCCAAAAUUUCGAAUGCAAAUUCAAAUCAUACAACACUGAAAACAUACCAUCAAAUACAACAGAGAAUGGAUCAUCUGGAUAGGUGCCUAGGUGGAUGGUCGUUGUUGUUGUUGCUCAGAGUUCGCCGUCGCUGCUCUGGGUGUAUGAUGGUUUGAGCGAGAAUGGGAGGUAGUCUGAGAGAGAGAUGGAGAAGGAGAAAACCCUGCUCACAUCAUACCAACACCAAUAACAAUAACAAAAUGGACGAAAAUAGCCUACUAUCGAAUAAUACAUCAGAGAAUGGAUCCUUCGGUUCCAUUGAAUUGAAAAGAAUAUGGAGAAGUGAAAAGAAUUGAAUUCAAUUUUCAAAUAAUUCGAACAAAAUUAACAAUGACAAGAGCAAACCCUAAUAAGAGAAAACCUUGCUCACAUCAUAAAAAAUUAAAAAUCGAACAUAAAAAUUGAGAAUGGAGAAAAGAAAAAUGUAAUUCUUCGAAAACAUACCCGAUUCCUUGUUUUUCAAGAUUGUCUGGCUUUUCUAUUCAAUUUUGCCGCUUGUCGUCGUUGCUCGAAAGCUCGCCAUCGCCGCUCUAGAUGGAUGGUGGUCUGAGCGAGAAGGAAAGGUAGUCUGAGAGAAAGAGGGAGGGAGAAGGAGAGGUAACGUGAGCGGGAGGGAGACGUAGUGUGAGCGGGAAAGAGAAUGAUGAUUUAAGUCCUCUGUCAUUGGGAUGGGAGAAGAAGACGCCGUUAACUAGGCUCAGUUCUUUUUUGAAAAAAAAAAGUUACACGUGUUAAGUUCUUAUUGUGCCACGUUUGGGCAGUAUGAAGGGUUCUGACUGUUCAGGACUCAAGUAUUGUCCUUAUUUUUAUAGUUUUGUUUACGAUCCCCCUUUUUUUAUUCUUUAUUUUUUAUAGUUUUGUUUUGUCAAAGUGGAAAUGAUCCCCCUUUUUUUAUUCUUUAUUUUUUAUAGUUUUGUUAAAAGCAAGAUCUUAAAAGACGUUAAGCGGAUGUUGGGUUGAGACUUAGCACUUAGACGGUCUAAACGGAUUUGAGUAUAUUAAUUAUAUAAUAUGUAAAUUAGUUAAAUUUAAACAUUAAAUAAUAUGUCAUUUAAAAAUGAAAGUAUAUAUACAUAUACACAGUGGCGGAUUCAGAAUUUUAAACUCGGGGGGUCCCAAUAACAAAGGUAAAAAAAUUUAUAGAUUAAAAUGACAUUUAAAAGUUAAAUUAUAGUACAUUUUAUUGAUGAAUCAUACGUAAAACAACAUUACAAGCUAUAAAAUCUAAUUCAAGCAUCUACAAUGAAGUUUCAUAGUCUAAAAAUGUUCCAUUUGCAAAUAUACUCUUUGAAUCUCAACUUGAAUAUUAGGAGGAUAAUCCUUCAUUCAGAUUCUUUUUCCAGGGUCUCUCUCAAGAUUAUUCAAAUUAAUAUCACACUCAUUUUGUCUUGAACUUGAACUACCCAAACAAAUAGAUCGUGUUAUUGGUUUUGGCUUGAAAAAUCUUUCCAUAUUUCUUAUCUAUACACUACAUAUUAAUAACAAAACACAAAAUCAUAUACCAAUUAAUCAAUAAACAAAAUUCCAAUAAUCAAAUGAGUAUACAAAAAUAAAACAUAUCAAUAAUAGAUUAUAAAAUCUCCAUCAAUAUAUAAUAUAAUUUAGUUGAGAUUGGAUUAGAAUACCAAAAAAUCUUUUUUGAAUUUUGAACCAAAUGGUGGUGGUGUGGAGAUUUAAAACAAAUUGAGAUAUGAUAUUGGAGUAAAAUUAAAAUAUGAGAUUGGGUGGGAUUUUAGGAUUAUGAGAAUAGGGAAAUUGAGGAUUGGAUAUGUGAAAAUUGGGGGUUUCAGGUUUUGGAUGGGAGAAGGGAUGGUAAGGUAUGGGGAUUCAGGAAGAGUGACGGAGGCCUUGGGGAAUUAAAACAAAAUGGAAGAAAACGGCAGCGUUUUACCGUUGUUUAAACUUAAAUAAAAAAUAAAAAAAUAAAACGACUUGGGCCAAGGUUGAAAUGGGCAAAUUUUCUUUCUUCCUCUGCGCGGUCUUCUUCCCCAUCAUGACACUGCUGCUGCAACUAUAACUGCACAUAGUUCAUCCGAGUACGAGGGGUCCCCGGAAAAUUUCAAGCAAUCAUUCAGGCGUCUUCGAGGGGUCCUGGGACCUCCCAGGUCCCUCGGUGGAUCCACCACUGCAUAUGCAGUAUGAGAGUUUUAGGUACAUAAGAAAAUAUUAUGGACUUUAUAGUAUAGUCUUAAUGUUAAAAAGAAUAUUAAAAAAAUAGAAAUGGGCAGAAUACAAGUCUAGCAUCAGACUUGUGUGGAAUAGAUUUGCGUUUCCAAGUCAACAACUUGGAAGCAAUUCCAUAAAAAGAAUAAAAAUAUAAAAAGCAACUUGGAAGUAAAUCCAAGGCCACUUAAGACACUAAUCUCUAAUAUUUUUUAACCUGAAUCAAAAUAAUCUACACUAUUUAUGAAAUUACACCAAAAUAACUUUCAUUAUUUUUGAAACUGAACCAAAAUACUUACACUAUUUCUGAAACUGAGCCAAAAUAAUCCACAUUAUUUAUGGAACUACUACAAAAUAACUCGUACUAUUUAUGAAAUUGAACCAAAAUAACAUGCACUAAAUAUGGAAGUGAACAAGAUAAACGAUAUUUCUGAAGUUACAAACUAUUUAUGAAACAAAAUAAAAUAAUCCACACUAUUUUUGGAGUUACAAUAAAAUAACCCACACUAUUUCUAAAAUUGAACCAAAAUAAUCCACACUAUUUCUGGAACUACUACAAAAUAACUCACAUUAUUUAUGAAACUAAACCAAAAUAAUCCACAUUAUUUCUGAAACAACAGCAAAAUAACUUACGCUAUUUUUGAAACAGAACCAAAAUAAUUCAUAGUAUUUCUGUAAGUGAACAAAAUAAACACUAUUUCUAGAAAUACAACAAAAUAAGAACGAGGUUGAACGACAAACACCCAAAACAAACCCAAACAAAAAUCCCUUUUCUUUUCCAAAACUAAAAACAAAAAGAAAAUUAAUUACCAAAUAACCGUUACUGUGCCAAAUGUAGAGAGAAACAGAGAUUAAAUGGGGGAAAUUCCAUUUCUGAAAAAUUGUUGCAAAAAUAUACAUAAUUUUAGAAUUUAAUAAAUUAAAAAGUUCGGGAGGAGUUGCAGAGAAUUAGAAGCUUCUGUUUCUCGUCACUUUGGGUGCAUGAAAGCUUGAACAUUGCCUUGAUCAUCUUUUAGUGGUCUACCUAAUCAAAAAAUGCUUGAGUGUCCUCGUGGUAACAAUACGAUCCCACGCGGCCCUCCCUCACUUCAUUAGGCAAGACUGAGAUAAAACGGGGUUCGUGCUCUGCCUUAAUGGCGGUGAUGAUUCAUUUGGUAAAAUCGUAAUAUUUGUGAAUUGACUAAUUGGCUUGGGUUAGGCUCUAUUAGGGAUAAUUAUAGAAAAAAGUAUUUUAUUGCAGGUUGGGCUCUAAUUCGGCCCGUGUUUUUAAUAUUUGUAAGGUUGGUAUAUGAAUAGUUGUGAUCUUACGGCUACAUCUUAAACUUUUAUUAAUCAUAAAAGUUUAAGGUGAUUUUUUAGAUCACAACUAUUCAUAUACCAACUCUAAGAUCACAACUAUUCGUUAAUCCAAACAGCUUUUUGAAAUUGUGAAAAGUCAUUUCGCCACACUCUCUUCUUGUGCUGGUGUGACAAGAGCAUGAUUUUCUGAAUGCUCCCAUUAAAAAGAUGGUGGGGACCAGCUCGAUUCAUCUUCUUCCCCCCGCAACCCCGACUCUGCAACAAAAAUAUUUCAGAAUCCGGCGUCUUAAAUUUCCCCCGCCUAGCCGCCGUCGAACCCCGCCCAGACUUGCAUAGCUUCCCCUAGUCCCGCCUAAUCCCGCCUAAAAUGCUUUCCGAUUUUGUGGCCGCUUAGAAGUUAAUCGCGGCGGUCGGCCACCGUCCAGCUCCUAGGCCCGGACCAUGUUGAGCCCACCCAAAUAACCCGACGGGCCCCCGUCUCGAUUCGCUCUCGUGCUGGUCAAGUGUAAAACUGUAAAAACUCCAUGGAAGAGCUUCUGCGCGCCUUUUCAUCCUUUUGAGACAUUAUACUUAUCAAAAGAGCAGAGCAAUAUGGUUGCCACUUGCAAGUCUACACUCCCAAAACGCAGCGUUCUUCUCAUCUCUCUCCUUAAUCCUCACACUGGUAUUCUCUCUCUCUCUCUGUAUUUCCUACAGUUUUAGGCAGGUAGGUUGUAUUUUCCGAGAAAAUUAUGUUUGGCUGCUGAGAAACCUGACGAAAAUAAUAGAAAAGGAGACACAUCGGAUUUGGUGGGGUGUAUUAAAUAGUCAAUGUCUUAAUUUUAAUUUCUGUAAUGUUCAAUGAGUUCUUUGAAUUAAGGCCAGCAAUUUGCAGUUACAUUGAAAUCAAAGGAUUUGGGAAAUUAAAACCUAAUUGAAAUUGUAUUUUGUCUACCUAAUUUCGUGUUCGUUGUCUUGUCUGUUUAGUUAAAUACUGAAAUUUGUAAGUGUUUGGUUAUUUGAAGUGAAAAUCUUCUGAUUAAAAGUUAUUAGCUUUAGUUGAUCUCUUACGUUUUUUCGGCAUUUAUGUGCCCAUUGGAUUGGAGAACAGGAUGACUGCAAAGGUUGGUACUGCAUCCACAGUCGAACCUCGCACUGCUGAGAUGUCUGGUACAACGAUGACACCUGCAUCAUCAGCUGGUACACAAAAGGUCUCCAUGUUUGCUGCCAAGGCUGGAUUUGUUAUACCAAAAAACAAGCUGUUGGGUUCACUUGUGCCUGUCUUUCGCGGAAGUAAAAACCUAGGAACCGGUGACGCAGUUAGUGGAGAAAGUAAGAAACAGAUUCAGAGGAAAACAAAAUGGGGCCCUGAUCUCACCCAAGAUGCUUCUGUCAAAAAAGGAAGAGCUUUAGCUUAUCAGGUAUUGUUUGGAUUGUUUGCAAGUCCUGUUCUGGUCAUAUUUCGUUUGAUACUAUGUUAUUUCGUAGUUCUAAGAUCAAAAUUUGUUCUUGGUUUAUGUAUCUUUUUCCCACUUCACCCGCUUUUAUGUUUGCAAAUGUCAAACGUCUCUAAUAUGUUCCCAUCCUCAUAUAGUUUAGAAAUUCAAAUUUAUGGUUUGGAGGCAUUCUUCGCCCCCCUUGUGGGAGGAAUAAAUAUUUCCACCUAGUGGAAGUUCAUUGUUUCCCUUUUACGUUGGGUAUUAAAAUGCUGGUUGUGUCUUCUGUGUGAAUGUUUCACAUGGAAACCUCCCAUUCCAGGUGCCACUAAGUGAUAUUACUGCCUGUUUGGUGGUACAAAUUUUGAGUAGACUCGGGUGGAACAAAUUACACAACAGUUGAAAUCAGAAAUGUUAGAGGAUGAGAAUGAUGAGGACUUACUAUCAGCACCUCAACAUACAAGCUUCAACAAAAGAAAAUUCAAAGAACUUAGCGAAGAAGGCUUUGGUGUAUUUAACACAAUACGUUGAAAUGAAGGAAAGCUUAUUUAUUGAUAUCCCCGAUAAGCUACAAAUAUGUACAUAUACAAGAGUCAAAAUAAACACACAAGAGGGAGCCUUCACAAAGGUUGCUUAGGAGAAGUCUUAGCAGUCGGUAGAGCCCCAGAAAGAGAAGGCACCGGAGGGGGAUCAUUUGGAGCCUCAGUACUGGACAGAACCCUAGAAGGAGGAGGCAUCAGAGGUUGAUCAUUUGGAGCUUCAUUACGCGGUACAGCCCCAGAAGACGAAGGCAAUAAAUGCCUUUGGAACAAACCCACAAAUCUCUGAUGAUCAAGUAAAACCUGACCAUCAGUUUCCUUCAUCUGGUCAAGCUUCCUCUUCAUGUUUGUAGCAUAGUCAUGUGCGAGCCGGUGCAACUGUUUAUUCUCAUGCUUGAGCCCUCUAAUCUCCUGUUUGAGACUCAUCACUUCAGCCGCCAAUGAUUCAACUUGGCGGGUUCGAGCAAAUAGGCGUUGGGCCAUAUUAGACACAGAACCUGCACACUGAACACUGAGAGCCAGCGAAUCCUUAACAGCUAACUCAUCAGACCGUUUGGAAAGUAGUCUGUUAUCUUUGGGAGUGAGAAGGUUCCUGGCCACCACCGCAGCGGUCAUAUCAUUCUUCAUCACGGAAUCCCCAACGGUAAGAGGACCAGUAGGGGAGACGAAGGAUGGGCGCCAUAUGUUGUCUGGAGAAGGCGGGGCUGCCUCUUCAACAAGGUUCAAGUCAAAACGACGGUCGGAGGGGCCAGACAUUUUCAAAGGUGUUGAAGAGAGAAGAGGUCGGACAAAUCAAGAUCUUAGAAGUGCAAGAAUGAAGCUUCUACUGGUGGAGAUUCAAGUGUGCUUUGGAACUUAAUGCCAGCCCUUAUAAAAAUCUGCACUCGACGGAGCUUCAGAAAUCGAAGAGGCGCCUGCUCAGAAAUCGAAGAGGCGUUUGCUUUCUCAAAAGCUGGGCUGCUUAGAGAUCACGAGGGUUGAUCUCAGAAAUCGAAGAGGCGUUUGCUUUCUCAAAAGUUGGGCUGCUCAAAGACCACGAAGGCUGGAUCUCAGAAAUUCGAAGAGGCGCUCGCUUUCUCAAAAGCUGGGCUCCCCAGAGACCACGAGGGCCGAUCUCAGAAAUCGAAGAGGCACCUACUUUUCCAGCCUUGUCAGCACCUGUCACACGCACACUCAGCUUUGCGGAAAUUAUGGGCAUUCUGUCGAAGACUUCUGGGGAAGUAGAAAACACAUGAAUCUUACUGUUCAAUCACCCACUUCCCACACGCAACAAUAGCUCAUGGGUACCACAGAUAACUUUGCCAAAGUUCUCUGCCAAAGUUGAGCACGUGAAGCUUGCAGCUCCCACUACAUCGCUCUGACCAAGAAGGGUAAAAGAAUAGCAAAGAAACAGCACUAACAAAGUUUAGACCCAUAAAUUUUGAAGGUCUAGCUACCAUAUUAUUACCCACAAGGGUAAAGGAACAGUACCACUGCUGGAUAAUUGGACAGUCCCUGUGUGUCAACCUCUGUGCUUCGUGGCAAGGUAGACUAGCAAACAUGCCCAACCUUUACUCACAUUCGAGAAAAACACUCCCAAUAAGAUUGCUUGCUCCAAAAUCGAAGAGGCACCGUCCUCCGAAUCUCGAGAGCCAGACUCCCAACAUGACUACUUUCUUAAAAAUCGAAGAGAGGGUAAAGGAACAGUACCAUUGCUGGAUAAUUGGAAAGUCCUUGUGUGUCAACCUCUGUGCUUCGUGGCAAGGUAGACUAGCAAACAUGCCCAACCUUUACUCACAUUCGAGAAAACACUCCCAACAAGAUUGCUUGCUCCAAAAUCGAAGAGGCACCGCCCUCCGAAUCUCGAGAGCCAGACUCCCAACAUGAUUACUUUCUCAAAAAUCGAAGAGACACUGCUCCCCGAAUCUUAGAGAGCCAGACCCCCAGCGUGACUGCUUUCUCAAAAAUCGAUGAGGCAUCGUUCUUCGAAUCAAUCGAAGAGGCGCUCGCUUUCUCAAAAGCUGGGCUGCUCAGAGACCACGAGGGCCGAUCUCAGAAAUCGAAGAGGCACCUACUUUUCUAGCCUUGUCAGCACCUGUCACACGCACACUCAGCUUUGCAGAAAUUAUGGGCAUUCUGUCGAAGACUUCUGGUGAAGUAGAAAGCACAUGAAUCUUACUGUUCAAUCACCCACUUCCCACACGCAACAAUAGCUCAUGGGUACCACAGAUAACUUUGCCAAAGUUCUCUGCCAAAGUUGAGCACGUGAAGCUUGCAGCUCCCACUACAUCGCUCUGACCAAGAAAGGUAAAAGAAUAGCAAAGAAACAACACUAACAAAGUUUAGACACAUAAAUUUUGAAGGUCUAGCUACCAUAUUAUUACCCACAAGGGUAAAGGAACAGUACCACUGCUGGAUAAUUGGAAAGUCCCUGUGUGUCAACCUCUGUGCUUCGUGGCAAGGUAGACUAGCAAACAUGCCCAACCUUUUACUCACAUUCGAGAAAACACUCCCAACAAGAUUGCUUGCUCCAAAAUCGAAGAGGCACCGUCCUCCGAAUCUCGAGAGCCAGACUCCCAACAUGACUACUUUCUCAAAAUCGAAGAGAGGGUAAAGGAACAGUACCAUUGCUGGAUAAUUGGAAAGUCCCUGUGUGUCAACCUUUGUGCUUCGUGGCAAGGUAGACUAGCAAACAUGCCCAACCUUUACUCACAUUCGAGACAACACUCCCAACAAGAUUGCUUGCUCCAAAAUCGAAGAGGCACCGCCCUCCGAAUCUCGAGAGCCAGACUCCCAACAUGAUUACUUCCUCAAAAAUCGAAGAGACACUGCUCUCCGAAUCUCGAGAGCCAGACCCCCAGCAUGAUUGCUUUCUCAAAAAUCGAAGAGGCAUCGUUCUCCGAAUCUCGAGAGCCAGAUACCACAGACCACUUUUUCAAAGUGCUCUGACAGAGUUAAAACAUGUGAAACUGGACAGCUCCCACUACCGUGCUAUGACCAAGCAGGGUAAAGGAAUAACAUUACUACUUGUUAGGGAGACUCCUAUAUAUGUCGACCUCCAUCCCCAACGGACAGGCAGACCUGCAAAAAUGCUCAACCCUUCAUCAUAUCUGAGAGGGCACUCCCAACGAAGCCUUUCGAAAUAUUCAGCUUUCUUUCCCCCCGAUAAUACCUCUGCAAACAAGCUAUACUAGAGCAAGAAUAUCUCAUAUCAUCAGGGUUAAAAGCAAGAGUAUCCCAUAUCAUGCUUUUUCCCUGUCUUUUCCUUUGGCCUUGUUUUUACCUGCAAGACAAGGAGAAAGAGAGCAAUCAGUCAGCACUUGGAAUCAAGCUUCCAGCCAGGAACUGACUGCCUGGAACCCCUUACCUGAUUACUUACCUGGCAUUGCUCUCGAGUACUCAUCUUCAACAUCUUAUGUUUCCAGGGAAGAUUCCGCAUCUGCUUGAGGAACAGAUAGGGCAAGUGCGAAGGAUACAAGGAAGCAUGUGGAGACAAGCGUAACAGCACACGUGCCGAUACAUCCAUUACUCUGUCAAAAGCAAAAGUAUCCCAUAUCAGCAGGGUGGAACGUACUCUAGAUUUGAUGGACUUGUUUUGACCCUCAAAUUCUUCAGUCGGCCUUAUACUCUGGAGGAAACCAGAAAACCCUCCAGCUCAGUUCAAGAAUAAGCCUGUGGAAAGUUACUUCUUCAAAAGCAAAAGUAUCUCAUAUCAUCUCUUCUCAUUUUUCUUCUCUUUAUCCUUCAUGCUGCUGCAAGAUGGGGAGAAGGUGAACAAUCAGUCGGAGCUCUGAUUGCUUACCUUGUCUGUCACCUCUUUCAGCAGACCCCCUAGCUCGGCGACUUGGGGGACUCCUACUACAUGGUUUGUAUCGCGCUUGACCAAGCCUGAAACUACAAGUAAGCUUCAAGUGAAAUUGAUACAUUACCUUGUGCAUCUCCACCAGUUAAAGAUACCACCCCUGGAUGGAGGAAGAGUACUUCCAGAGAAGAUGCCACAUCUACCUAUGAGACAGAUAAGGCAAGUCAAGACGACUACCACACUCCGAUACUUAGAAGUUUCGUGAUUACGAGAUCAUUCUCCCACAAUAUUUCCUUAAUGUCAUUUGUACUAAAUCAUUCACUUGUACUCACUAAAGGAGAGCUUGAACCUAUGUACUUGUGUAAACCCUUCACAAUUAAUGAGAACUCUUCUAUUCCGUGGACGUAGCCAAUCUGGGUGAACCACGUACAUCUUGUGUUUGCUUUCCUAUCUCUAUCCAUUUAUAUACUUAUCCACACUAAUGACCGGAGCAAUCUAGCGAAGAUCACAAAAAGCGACCGUUUUCGCUACCUAGGAUCUAUCUUGUAAGAGAACGGAGAAUUAGAUGGAGAUCUCAACCAUAGAAUACGAGCUGCAUGGAUGAAGUGUUAGAAUGCAUCCGGCGUGUUGUGUGACCGUCGUAGGCCACUGAAGCUCAAGGGAAAAUUUUAUAGGACGGCAAUAAGGCCAGCGAUGUUGUAUGGCACAGAAUGUUGGGCGGUGAAGCAUCAACACGUACACAAAAUGGGUGUAGCGGAGAUGAGGAUGCUUCGUGGGAUGUGUGGGCACACGAGAAAGGAUAAGAUUGGGAAUGAGGAUAUCCGAGGUAAAGUAGGAGUAGCCGAAAUUGUAGGAAAGAUGAGAGAAAAUCGGCUCCGGUGAUUUGGACAUGUGCAAAGAAGGCCGAAUGACGCUCCGGUUCGAAGAUGUGACUACGGGACAGAGGUUCAGGGCCGAAGGGGUAGAGGAAGACCUAGGAAAACUUUGGAAGAGACUCUAAGAAAAGACUUAGAGUACUUGGAUCUAACGGAGGACAUGACACAAAACCGAGCGCAAUGGCGUUCUAGGAUUCAUAUAGCCGACCCCACUUAGUGGGAAAAGGCUUUGUUGUUGUUGUUGUUGUUGUUGUUAUUCUUGAUUACUUUUGUUUCUAUGUUGAAUGAUGUUUCUAUUCUUAAGCACUGAUGAUAAUAUUCGUCAAUGUAGGACGUUGACCAGUUGGAAUUUGAAAAGCGGGAAGCCAUAGGUGUGUAUGACAGCUUUCUUAGAUUAUACCUUUCUGUAUGUUAUAUUAUAGAUUGCAUGAUUAUUGUUUUCUUGACGAUAUUCAGGUGAGAUUUAAAGUUAAAUCCAAGCUACAAGGCCCCACCUGAUUAUAAACCUUUGUUGAAAGAGGCUACAGUCCCUAUUCCUGUAAGUUUAUCUUCUCAUUCUGCAAUCCUCUGCAACUUUUUCCUAAUUAACUGUUUUUUUAAGAUGUGUCCAAACUGCUGAGAUAAUAUAAGUUAGUUUAUCAUGGUGUGAAAAUGUUCUGUCAAUUUUAGUUGUAUUGAUUUAAAAUAAAACUUAUCCAAGAAAAACAUGUAUGUGGAAUUUCAACCUGGACUCAUAAGUGGUAGUCUUAUCGUACACUUCUACAAUGAUACGUAUGGACCUGAAAUCUGAACAGGUUGGCCGUAAUUUGGAGUUGAGGGGUGGUGAAGAAGGGGCCUCAGAGUACUACGUGAAUUCGAAAUAACUGGUUAAAGUUAUGCAACUUAUGGCUAGAGUCCCUAUUAAUCUGGUGGAAUAGUUUAGAUUUACUCAUUUAAGCGUAUUUAGCAUUGCUUUUUUAGGUUGGUUGUUUGCGAUACUGGUGUUGGUUUGAAUCCUGAUAAUAUUGAUCGUAAGUUCACAUAAAUAAGAAUUAUUUGGUUGUUUUAAGAACUGUCACCCAGUGGCUAGGUUGUAGAGAGCUUGUGUUGCGAAAACAGUCCAUCUAGAAGGACGGCUAUUGUUGCCCAUAUUUUACCUCCCUGAACCCGCAUUCCGGGAUCCACAUGCAUUGAAAUGCCUUUCUAGGAAUUUCUAGUAUGAGUUGACAUGUCAUUAUUUCACAAAGAGGUGAACGGACUGUGGAUACAACUAUUUUAUUACUAAGAGUAAAGAAUGCAAUGGGUUGGUAUGUUUGUUUACCAUUACUUUUAUAAGGUUUCCUUUGGCCAGGGGUGGAGGGUGGGACCUAAGACGCGAGCAUAUAUUAUCCAAUUUCAUGGUUUGCUGAGUCGGCCAGUAUUUGAAUUCUGAUGCUUAGAUGUUUUAAAAUGCUUUUCAGGUGAAAGAAUAUCCUAAAUAUAAUCUUGUUGGCCUAAUAUAUGGUCCUGAAAGUGAUAACCAGAAACAAUUAGAAAAGGUAAGAGUUUUGUGUGUGCUUAUGACGAUUAUGCCAAACACUCGUGAUUACCAUGUGCAUGUUCUGAUGAUCUUCGCGUCGUGUGUGUUUUCUCUAUAUUUCUUUUUGAUUGGUCAAUGCAAAUAAGGAAACCGGAGCCAAGAUUCAAGUCUAUGGUACCAAAGCAGGGACAGGACACAAGGUAAUAUUUCAAUAAAUAAUAUAGAACGGUAAGGAAUCAAUAUCAUGAUAAAUUUGAGAGUCCUGACUCCUCAUCAUCAAUUUUACUGAUUUUCAUCUUUUCUUAAACAUAUUAUUUUAACCCAAAAAAAAAAAAAAUCUAUUGUGGAAUGGUUGCUUCGAGAUGUGCAUAAUGCUCAUGUAGUAUUGACCUUCCCCUUUUUAUUCUUUAACUUAUUUGCAGGCUGAAAUAAAACCAUCUGAUGGGAGUGAAAUCCAUGGUGAAUAUGAAAGCUUAUAUGUUCAUAUAUCAGUUGACACAUAUGAGAAAGUAGAUGCAGCGGUUGCUGUAAUUGAACUCUUAGUCACCUCUGUAUCAGUGAGUUUCCUUUUUAUUUCUAAACAAAAAGCUUUAAGUCCAACAGUUUCUUAAAAUUUCUCUUUCGUGCUAUUUAUUAUGAUUUCUACAGUUGUUCUCUUAGCAUUGUUCUUUUAAUUACUUCCAUAUAGGGAAAUCUGGCAGCGGUUAGCAGUACAGGUGCUUCAGUUUCUGCUGAUAAUGCUCAUGUUCCUAGUCAAGUCCAGGACACUACCACCUCUAAUAUGGUUCCGACUACUGUGGUAAAUCAGGGAAUGGUACAACCAUUGCCAGGACUUGCACAAACUCCACUGGAUGGGCAGUUUCAGUACCCUGGUCCAUUUCUCUCGAGGGGCCCAUCUUCCGCUCCCAUGUAUAUGCCUGGCUUCGCUCUGAAUUCUUUGAGACCUAUCCUCAACAAUCCUUCCCAUAUUUCAACAUCACUUUUCAACCCUGCGUACCUGCCUUCAUCAUUUGGGCUUCCGCCAUCUCUUGUUUCCCCUAGACAAAAUCCACCAACACCACAAUUUUUGCCACAUACAUAUAUGGCUUCCCAGCCUGCAUCAGUUCAAACUAAUGUUUCAGCUCCACUCACAGUCAUGCGAAACCGACCACUGCCUGCUGAGAGCUCUACUGGAUGAUCAAGCGGUCCACCAGUUCCACAACCAGGUGUUGCAUCCAUGCCACCACCUUCAAAUAUAUCAACGGCGAAUAUGGUGUCUUCUGUAAACCCUCCUAUUGCAGCUCCAAGUUUUAUUUCUAUUCCACGGCCUCAAGCGGGACUUCCUUCUACAUCUCUAUCCACAUCUCUGCAAGCAAGAGUUCCAAGUUCUGUUUCUGGAAGUGUUCCAAAUUUCGCUCCCCUAAAACCACCAAUGAUGACGGCUCAAAGCCCUGGCGAUUUCACUUUUCAGCCUCAUCGACCACAGAAUCCAUCCUUCCAAACAGUUCCCCAGCCAAGCAGUCACUUUUCAGCACAUAACGCUUCUCUUGCCAGACCAAUGUUGCCAUCUCCAACACCUCAAGCACCGUCUUUCCAGUUUCCUCAGCCGGGCAGUCAGGUGUUAUCGAGACCACAACUCGGUGACCACAUGGGUCAGCAUCCAUCAGCUCAUAUGUCUGCUGCUCCCUAUGCCAGAAAUUCAACUGCCAUCUCAGUUCCUCCUAGACUCGCAACAUUUCUAGAAUCCAGUACCGUUCUACCUCGGACGCCACACCCACCAAUGAGACCGAGUAACUUCAAUCCACCUCACCAGAUGCCCAAUUUGCCAGGUCCUCUGCCUCCAAGGCCAGGAAAUUAUAUUCAAAUUCAGCAAAACUAUCCUGCUCACGCAACUCGACCUGAGAUCCCACGUGCUCCAAAUCAACAGUUCAGCAACCACCUUGCAUUUUCCUCUGGCAAGUCGGCGUCUGGUCCUGGAGGAGGGCAACAACUGUAUGAUCCGUUCUCACCCACUUCCGCGAAUCAACAGCAGGGAGGUAAUCCAGGGAAGAUGUGAAAGCAAGGGUUUGAUCUACACUAAUGCGAUUUGAUUGCCUUGGUUGGAGUUACAAUUUCGGAUUUAGUGAAACAGCUAACAAAACAAGAAUUUGGAGUUGUUGUAGUCUAUAGGUCAUAUUAACAUGUUGCUGUUAUCUGAUUUCUGA
rnacentral:lncRNA from 1 species